rnacentral:rRNA from 1 species
UGUAAGCGUAUACCAAAGUUGUUGCAGUUAAAACGCUCGUAGUCGGAAUUUGGCAGUCCCGGAUGUGUGCACGUCGUGUGCGCACUUCGCGGGGAUUGCUUUUGUGGUCUUGCGUAGGAUGAGGCACUUUUAUUAGUGAACGUCCUCACGCAACCACUUUUUACUGUGAGAAAAUCAGAGUGCUCAAAGCAGGCAUUUGCCGUGAAUGUAUUAGCAUGGAAUAAUAGAAUAGGACUUGGUUCUAUUUUGUUGGUUUGUUGGGACUGAGUAAUGAUUAAGAGGGACAGUUGGGGGCAUUUGUAUUUCGGUGCUUGAGGUGAAAUUCUUAGAUUACCGAAAGACAAACUGCUGCGAAAGCGUCUGCCAAGGAUGUUUUCAUUGA